rnacentral:rRNA from 1 species
UGGUGGAGUGAUUUGUCUGGUUAAUUCCGUUAACGAACGAGACCUCGACCUGCUAAAUAGUUCGCACCAAGCUUCGGCUUGGUUUUGUGUUUGACUUCUUAGAGGGACUAUCGGUGUGUAGCCGAUGGAAGUUCGAGGCAAUAACA